AGGACGAACGCUGGCGGCGUGCUUAACACAUGCAAGUCGAGCGAGGCUCCUCCUUCGGGAGGAAGCCCUAGCGGCGAACGGGUGAGUAACACGUGGGCAACCUGCCCCUAGCACUGGGAUAACCCCGGGAAACCGGGGCUAAUACCGGAUACGACUUCGGAAGGCAUCUUCUGAAGUGGAAAAGGUUACUGGCUAGGGAUGGGCCCGCGGCCUAUCAGCUUGUUGGUGGGGUAAUGGCCCACCAAGGCGACGACGGGUAGCCGGCCUGAGAGGGCGACCGGCCACACUGGGACUGAGACACGGCCCAGACUCCUACGGGAGGCAGCAGUGGGGAUAUUGCACAAUGGGCGAAAGCCUGAUGCAGCGACGCCGCGUGAGGGAUGACGGUCUUCGGGUUGUAAACCUCUUUCAGCAGGGACGAAGCGAAAGUGACGGUACCUGCAGAAGAGCACCGGCAACUACGCGCCAGCAGCCGC
rnacentral:rRNA from 1 species